rnacentral:lncRNA from 1 species
UUGUCCAUGAUCCUGUAGCUUUCGCGGAAAUCGAAAAGUCGAUUUCGGUGCGUUUUUCGGCGAAAUUCGCCGAAAGAACGCGGUUUCAGUUCGGAUUUCUUCCGACGUGAUUUGUUUAUCCUGUGAAUUGUCGCUCAGCCUUGUUGGCUGGUCACCAUCAUCAUUUUAUGUGUUCGAUGAUGAUGGGUGAGCGACGGUGGGUUUCGGUGUUGAAAUAGACGCUUCCGGGAACUCGUAUUCGUAUAAUUAUUCGGCGAUAAUUGUGUAGUGGUGUUAUGUUGUAUUUGCUGCCAAGACAUCCAAAUUGGUGUGUUUUGUGGUAGCGGGUGACUCGUGGUACGAGUCGGUGAGUUUCGGGACACUUAGUGGGUCCCGACGGCG